UAAAACAAUAGUGUUACAAACAAUUAGAGUUUAUUUCACUUACUUGACUAUUUUAGAAGCUUUAUAACAUGUCUACAAAAACUCGUAUGUCACAUGAUCCACUAAUUCAUGGAGACCAAUGAAACACAUCACGCUAUACUCAUAAUCAUAAUGCAUUGUGUAUUACAAGUCAAUGAAUAUUUUGUGUGUUUUAUAGAUUGGUUGACAUAUUCCGUAAGAUUUAAGUGUUUUUGUUUGCAAGCAAUCAAUUUCCAAAUUGUUUGGCAAUAUUUAUAUUUCUAAAUAAAAUUAUAAGGUAAAAAUAAUUGUUUAUCUUCAGUAAUUAAAAAAAAAAAAAAAAAGUGGUGCAUGUAACACGAAUUAAAUGAUGCAAUGUUGAAUUAAGUUGUUGGGGAAUGUUUUUGAACUUUUCUGGACUCUCGAGGAUGAUGAUGUUGUGUUGUGUUUUGUGUGUCUUCCUCACCGCCUCUCAUACAACCCAUUGAAUGAACCCU
rnacentral:lncRNA from 1 species